rnacentral:rRNA from 1 species
GAUGAACGCUGGCGGCGUGCCUAAUACAUGCAAGUCGAGCGAACAGACGAGGAGCUUGCUCCUUCGACGUUAGCGGCGGACGGGUGAGUAACACGUAGGUAACCGACCUAUAAGACUGGGAUAACUUCGGGAAACCGGAGCUAAUAUCGGAUAAUAUUUCGAACCGCAUGGUUCGAUAGUGAAAGAUGGCUUUGCUAUCACUUAUAGAUGGACCUGCGCCGUAUUAGCUAGUUGGUAAGGUAACGGCUUACCAAGGCAACGAUACGUAGCCGACCUGAGCGCGUGGUCGGCCACACUGGAACUAAGGCACGGUUCAGACUCCUACGGGAGGCAGCAGUAGGGAAUCAACCGAGAUGGGCGAAAGCCUGACGGAGCAACGCCGCGUGGAUGAUGAAGGUCUUCGUAUCGUAAAACUCUGUUAUUAGGGAAGAACAAACGUGUAAGUAACUGUGCACGUCUUGACGGUACCUAAUCAGAGAGGCACGGCUAACUACAUG